ACUCUUUGAUUUGCUGCCGCACACACAUUUUAUCUCUCCGCCACACAAGGCUGUGUUUCUCUCCGGAAAACUGGACACGCACACUUUCACGCUCACAGGUGCACCUCCACAGUAUCAUGCAAUAACUAUUAAUUUAAUAACUUGUAAAAGUUCGUAGUAGGUACAGCGUCUACUAAUUAUUUACGAAAUGUCUUGAGCAGGAACAACAUCUGCUUAUUUUUAACACAAACAUAAGAGACUUUGAGUAGGAACAGCGUCUACUCUUCCGAAUUAAAAAUAGAGAGGUCGGUACAGCGUCGACCCGAGCAGGUACAGCUUCUGCUCUUUCUAACCGAAUUAAAAUAGAUAAGAGUAGGUACAGCGUCUACUCUUCUGAAUUAAAAAUAGAGAGGUAGGGACAACGUCUACCCGAGCAGGCACAACUUCUGCUCUUUUUAACCGAAUAAAAAUAGAGGUUAGUAGGUACAGCGUCUACUCUUGCAGGUACAGCAUCUGCGCUUGUUUACGAGCGGAUCAAUCUCGAGGUGAGCCUACACCUGGCCGUUAUCCGAACAUCUCGUCAGAAGCCGGGGGGACACGCCAGCGUCCAAUCCUUAACCCUUGAGUAGGAACAGCAUCUACUCUUUUUUAUAAACCCUUGAGUAGGAACAGCAUCUACUCUUUUUAUAAACCCUUGAGUAGGAACAGCAUCUACUCUUUUUAUAAAUAGCUUGGUAUGCUUCCUGCUUCCCUCCGGACAGCAGCCAGAGCGCCGCUCCACUCAAAUUUGAAAUAGCCAAUAUGCAGAAUUUGAUUAAACAGGCUCUGCUUACCUGGUUUGUUAAGUUCGGCCGUGAGUGGAUCAGUGCCGGAUGCUGUCCUUCGUCAGACUCGUCGUCGGGUCACCAAAUUGUUGUAGAAAAGAAAAUGUGAGGUGGGCUACUCCCACCUCUCGUCCGGGGUACAACUCCCCUGCGUGUUCGUUUGGUAGAGAGAGUCAGACAGGUGGAGUGAAGCUGAAAGCAAAUCAAGUAUUUAUUACAAACUGAAUAUUCAGGAGAACCAAUACAUAUAAGACAGUGUUACAGCCGUCUCAGUAAGAGUUCUGACCCCCUCUGAUCUGACUCCAUGUUUUAUACCCAAAAUGACGUAAGCCUGUUGAUGAGGCGUUGUUAAAAUCAUCUCAUGUUAGCAUGCACGUGUCUGACUGGACCACUAGUGUUUGACCUUGACUGUGUUCUUCCAUCCUGGCACUAUCUGUGUGUGUGCGUCACCCCCCGCUUUGAAGCAGAGGUUUUUUAGGGAGGCACUCACUCACCAAAAGGCUGCUUUGAUCUAAUAGCCUUUUUGUAGCAAAUUAGCCCCGUACCAGUCGAAUUGAUGACCGUUAGUUAGGGUCAUGCAGUAAAACAAAAUACUUCAAGCCUGAGCUACAUCUCAUAUGUUAUAUGUUAAUGUGGGUUAAUCUGUCAUAUAAUAGAGUCUGUGUUAGUCACAUGCCAUAUCAAACAAU